GACAGAGGGGGCAAGCGUUGCUCGGAAUUACUGGGCGUAAAGGGCGCGUAGGCGGGAUGGCAAGUCGGUCGUGAAAUCCCUCGGCUCAACCGAGGAACGUCGAUCGAUACUGCUGUUCUUGAGGAUUGCAGAGGAGACUGGAAUUCCCGGUGUAGCGGUGAAAUGUGUAGAGAUCGGGAGGAACACCGGUGGCGAAGGCGGGUCUCUGGGCACUUCCUGACGCUGAGGCGCGAAAGCGUGGGGAGCAAACGGGG
rnacentral:rRNA from 1 species